GACGAACGCUGGCGGCGUGCUUAACACAUGCAAGUCGAACGGAAAGGCCCUGCUUUUGUGGGGUGCUCGAGUGGCGAACGGGUGAGUAACACGUGAGUAACCUGCCCUUGACUUUGGGAUAACUUCAGGAAACUGGGGCUAAUACCGGAUAGGAGCUCCUGCUGCAUGGUGGGGGUUGGAAAGUUUCGGCGGUUGGGGAUGGACUCGCGGCUUAUCAGCUUGUUGGUGGGGUAGUGGCUUACCAAGGCUUUCACGGGUAGCCGGCCUGAGAGGGUGACCGGCCACAUUGGGAUUGAGAUAGGGCCCAGACUCCUACGGGGGGGAGGAGUGGGGAAUGCUGAAAAAUGGGGGGAAGCCGGAGGCAGCAACGCCGGGUGCGGGAUUACGGCCUUCGGGUGUUAAACCGCUUUCGCCUGUAACGAAAGGUGAGUGACGGUAAUGGGUAAAGAAGCACCGGCUAACUACGUG
rnacentral:rRNA from 1 species